UACGUAGGGGGCAAGCGUUGUCCGGAAUUAUUGGGCGUAAAGCGCGUGUAGGCGGUCCGGUAAGUCGGCUGUGAAAGUCCAGGGCUCAACCCUGGGAUGCCGGUCGAUACUGCCGGACUAGAGUUCGGAAGAGGCGAGUGGAAUUCCCGGUGUAGCGGUGAAAUGCGCAGAUAUCGGGAGGAACACCAAUGGCGAAGGCAGCUCGCUGGGACGUUACUGACGCUGA
rnacentral:rRNA from 1 species